rnacentral:tRNA from 1 species
GAAAGAUGGUCGAGUUGGUUUAAGGCACCGGUCUUGAAAACCGGCGAUGGUUUUGCCAUCCGUGGGUUCGAAUCCCACUCUUUCC